GCCGCCGUGGUUGCCAGGCAACACGGUCCCUGCCGCCGCCGGCGCGGGGUUCGACCCGACAAUGGGGCCGCGGGGCCUCCCGCGACUCCUGCUGGUGCUCCUGGACUGCUGGGCCUCCGUGAACGCCCAAGCCGGGACCACCCUGGUAGUGACAACGGAGGACCUCAACUCUACGGAACCAGCCCCGACGACUCCCCGACCUGUCUUGUCUGCUAGGCCCCCGGGUACCCCCAGGAACCCCGGACCCUCCUCCGGUCCCAGGCCCACCCCGGUCACGGACGUUGCUGCUUUGUGUGUCUGUGACCUGUCUCCAGCACAGUGUGACGUCAACUGCUGUUGUGAUCCUGAUUGCAGCUCCAUGGAUUUUAGUGUCUUUUCUGAUUGCUCAGUUCCAGUUGUCAUGGGUGAUAGUCAGUUUUGUAGCCAAAAAGCAGCCAUCUAUUCUUUGAAUUUAACAGCAAACCCACCCCAGAGAAUAUUUAAAGUUGUAGACCAGAUCAAUCCAUCUAUUUUCUGCAUUCAUAUUACAAACUAUAAACCUGCAUUAUCCUUUAUUGAUCCAGAAGUGCCUGAUGAAAACAAUUUUGAUAAAUUGAUGAAAACAUUAAAUGGUUUUUCAUUGAAUACAGAAUCAGAUGUUUCUUUAACAAAUGAACCAGAUGUUCCAAAUACUACUAAAUAUGAGUAUGGGGUUCUUCUGCAGACUUCAGAUUCAUUUUUGAGAUUUCCUUCUCCCCUUACAUCAUCUCUGUGCACUGAUAAUAACCCUGCAGCAUUUCUGAUGAAUCAAGCUGUUAAGUGCACCAGAAGGAUAAACUUGGAACAGUGCGAAGAAAUGGAAGCUCUGAGCAUGGCUCAUUACAGCAGUCCUAAAAUUUUGAGGGUACCUAAUUCAAAAACAAAGGUCCCUAUCACUGUCCAGUCCAUCAUCAUUCAGUCUCUAAAUAAAACCCUUACCCGGCUGGCAGACACGCACGUAUUGGAGCCAGUUCUUGUCGAAGAGGCGGGGGCUGUUAAAGUCUGCACCAAGGUCGUUCUAGAGGUAAAGUACAGACUCACAUACACAGAUGCAGGUGAAGUAACAAAAGCCGAUCUCUCUCUCCUUCUGGGGACAGUUAGCGACACAGAGCUUCCACUCCAGCAAAAGUUUGAAAUUCAUUUUAUUCAGCAAAAUGCAAAGCCGGUUCCUCUGAGUGGAAACCCUGGUUAUGUUGUGGGCCUCCCGCUAGCUGCCGGAUUUCAGCCUCACAAAGGGUCUGGGAUUAUUCAGACCAUGAAUAGAUAUGGACAACUUACUAUUCUUCAGAGCACAGCUGAGCAAGACUGCUUGGCAGUAGAGGGGAUUCGGACCCCAGUAUUAUUUGGUUACAAUAUGCAAUCUGGCUGUAAACUAAGACUGACCAGCACUAUCACGUGUCCCCUUGUCGUGGAGAAGGUGAAGAGCCUGCUGAAGGGCCAGGGCUUCCCAGAUUAUGUGGCCUCUUUUGGGAAUUCUCAGGCCCAGGAUGUGCUGGACUGGGUGCCUAUCCACUUCAUCGCCCAGGCACCCCACAUGAAGGAUGUCUGCCAGCUCCCACUGGCUUUGGUUAUAGAAGUGAAGUGGACGAAGUACGGAUCCUUACUGAACCCACAGGCUAAAAUAGUCAACGUAACUGCAAAUCUAAUUUCAUCCUCAUAUCCUAAGACCAACUCAGGAAAAGAAAGGACGGUUCUUAUUUCCACUGCGGUUUCUUUUGUGGAUGUGUCUGCACCGGCAGAGGCAGGCUUCAGAGCUCGGCCAACCAUCAAUGCCAAGCUGCCCUUCAAUUUCUUCUUCCCGUUCGUUUGACCACACAGAUCGUAUGUGGAAAUCAAAUUGCACCUUUGGGAAGACGGUAGAGAGAACAGACUUUGAAGUAACACAGGCAUUGAGGGUUUAUCCAGUUCACUCACCUCCUGCUUUGAUAGCGCUCAUAGGAAAGAAUGCCUCAGUAUUCCCGUAGAACGUGAAAACGACAUUUGAUGAGAUUAAAUGUUAUAUACAACUAG